rnacentral:rRNA from 1 species
UCGAACCUGCAAAGCAGACCUGCGAACAUGUUCAAAUAAACAUAAGGCCGUGAUUUUGAAUGCAAUGCAUCCAACAUUGUGGCCUGCGACCCCAAAAGAUGCAAGUCUCUUGGGUGUACUAACCACUCGGCGCGGCAAGCGCCAAGGAAAACGAAACUGGUCGCAUCUUCAUGCGGGUGCUGUACGCGGUGCCCGAUAUGUUGAGGAGCGCAUCUAUCAAAAUAGUCGAAACGACUCUCGGCAACGGAUAUCUCGGCUCUCGCAUCGAUGAAGAACGUAGCGAAAUGCGAUACUUGGUGUGAAUUGCAGAAUCACGUGAACCAUCGAGUCUUUGAACGCAAGUUGCGCCCAAAGCCAUCAGGCUGAGGGCACGUCUGCCUGGGCGUCACGCAUCUCGACACCCCCAACAUGAUCUUUCCCCACAUAAUGUCGGGAAAUGACGCAUGAAAUGUGGAGGUGGAAAUUGGCCUCCCGUUAUCAGUGUGUGGCGGCCGGCCUAAAUAUGAAAUCGUGACGAUAGAUGUGACACGAUACGUGGUGGUUGGAUUCUCAACUUUCGAACUAUCGUGCUGCACUAUAUCGAGCCACGGUCACCGACCCAAUGGCAGAAAAUGCCCUCGACUGUA